rnacentral:rRNA from 1 species
ACGAGGUCCAUCUUGUAGCAAUACAAGUGAAGACCUAGUGGCGAACGGGUGAGGAACACGUGAGAAAUUUGCCCCGAACUUUGGGAUAACAGUUGGAAACGACUGCUAAUACCGAAUGCCGUUACAAGGUGGCAUCACUUUGUAACGAAAGAAUUUCGGUUCGGGAGAAUCUCGCGGCCUAUCAGCUUGUUGGUGAGGUAACGGCUCACCAAGGCUACGACGGGUAGCUGGUCUGAGAGGAUGAUCAGCCACACUGGGACUGAGACACGGCCCAGACUCCUACGGGAGGCAGCAGUGGGGAAUCUUGUGCAAUGGACGAAAGUCUGACACAGCCACGCCGCGUGCGGGAAGAAGGCCUUCGGGUUGUAAACCGCUUUCAGCAGGAACGAAAAUGACGGUACCUGCAGAAGAAGGAGCGGCCAACUACGUGCCAGCAGCCGCGGUGAUACGUAGGCUCCAAGCGUUGUCCGGAUUUAUUGGGCGUAAAGAGCUCGUAGGCGGUUCAGCAAGUCGGGUGUGAAAACUCUGGGCUCAACCCAGAGCCUGCACCCGAAACUGCUGUGACUAGAGUUCGGUAGGGGAGUGGGGAAUUCCUAGUGUAGCGGUGAAAUGCGCAGAUAUUAGGAGGAACACCGAUGGCGAAAGGCACCACUCUGGGCCGAAACUGACGCUGAGGAGCGAAAGCGUGGGUAGCAAACAGGAUUAGAUACCCUGGUAGUCCACGCCGUAAACGAUGGGCACUAGGUGUGGGUCUCUAACCAACGAGAUCCGCGCCGUCGCUACGCAUUAAGUGCCCGCCUGGGGAGUACGGUCGCAGACUAAACUCAAAGGAUUGACGGGGCCCGCACAGCAGCGGAGC